rnacentral:rRNA from 1 species
GACGAACCGUGCGAACGUUGUUCGGAAUCACUGGGCUUAAAGGGCGCGUAGGCGGACCAUCUGGUCCGCGGUGAAAGCUUCCGGCUCAACCGGAAACCCGCCGCGGAUACCGGUGGCCUGGAGGCGGGCAGGGGCGCGUGGAACUCCCGGAGGAGCGGUGAAAUGUGUUGAGAACGGGAGGAACGCCGGCGGCGAAAGCGGCGCGCUGGGCCCGUCCUGACGCUGAGGCGCGAAAGCCAGGGGAGCGAACGGG